GAUGAACGCUAGCGAUAGGCUUAACACAUGCAAGUCGCGGGGCAGCACAAGGUAGCUUGCUAUCUGGGUGGCGACCGGCGCACGGGUGCGUAACGCGUAUGCAACUUGCCCUAUACAGGAGGAUAACCCGUCGAAAGACGGACUAAUACUGCGUAUGCUCACAACUUGGCAUCAAGUGGUGAGGAAAGAAAUUCGGUAUAGGAUAGGCAUGCGUCCCAUUAGCUUGUUGGUGAGGUAACGGCUCACCAAGGCAACGAUGGGUAGGGGAACUGAGAGGUUUAUCCCCCACACUGGUACUGAGACACGGACCAGACUCCUACGGGAGGCAGCAGUGAGGAAUAUUGGUCAAUGGGCGCGAGCCUGAACCAGCCAAGUCGCGUGAAGGAUGACUGUCUUAUGGAUUGUAAACUUCUUUUAUACGGGAAUAACAAGAGUCACGGGUGACUCCCUGCAUGUACCGUAUGAAUAAGCAUCGGCUAACUCCGUG
rnacentral:rRNA from 1 species